CAAGAUGGCUCAGUUGGGAGAGCAUGAGACUCUUAAUCUCAGGGUUGUGUGUUCUGAACUUCAGGAGGUUGG